rnacentral:tRNA from 1 species
GGGACCUUAGCUCAGUUGGUAGAGCGGCAGAUUGAAGAUCUGCGCGUCUCUGGUUCGAUUCCAGAAGGUCCCA